rnacentral:rRNA from 1 species
UACAUGGGGUGCAAACGUUGCUCGGAAUCAUUGGGCGUAAAGCGCGCGUAGGCGGUUACUUAAGUUGGAUGUGAAAGCCCUCGGCUUAACCGAGGAAGUGCAUCCAAAACUGAGUAGCUAGAGUACGAAAGAGGGUCGCGGAAUUCCCGGUGUAGCGGUGAAAUGCGCAGAUAUCAGGAGGAACACCGGUGGCGAAGGCGGAUCUCUGGGCCAUUACUGACGCUGAGGAGCGAAAGCGUGGGGAGCGAACAGG